rnacentral:rRNA from 1 species
GCAUAUCAAUAAGCGGAGGAAAAGAAACCAACAGGGAUUGCCCUAGUAACGGCGAGUGAAGCGGCAUCAGCUCAAAUUUGAAAUCUGGCUCUUUCAGGGUCCGAGUUGUAAUUUGCAGAGGGCGCUUUGGCGUUGGCAGCGGUCUAAGUUCCUUGGAACAGGACGUCACAGAGGGUGAGAAUCCCGUACGUGGUCGCUAACCUUCGCCGUGUAAAGCCCCUUCGACGAGUCGAGUUGUUUGGGAAUGCAGCUCUAAAUGGGAGGUAAAUUUCUUCUAAAGCUAAAUACUGGCCAGAGACCGAUAGCGCACAAGUAGAGUGAUCGAAAGAUGAAAAGCACUUUGGAAAGAGAGUCAAAUAGCACGUGAAAUUGUUGAAAGGGAAGCGCUUGCAGCCAGACUUGCCUGUAGUUGCUCAUCCGGGCUUUUGCCCGGUGCACUCUUCUGCGGGCAGGCCAGCAUCAGUCUAGGCGGUUGGAUAAAGGCCUCUGUCACGUACCUCCUUUCGGGGAGGCCUUAUAGGGGAGGCGACAUGCAACCAGCCUGGACUGAGGUCCGCGCAUCUGCUAGGAUGCUGGCGUAAUGGCUGUAAGCGGCCCGUCUUGAAACACGGACCAAGGAGUCUAACAUCUAUGCGAGUGUUUGGGUGUCAAGCCCGAACGCGUAAUGAAAGUGAACGGAGGUGGGAUCCCUUUUAGGGUGCACCAUCGACCGAUCCUGAUGUCUUCGGAUGGAUUUGAGUAAGAGCAUGGCUGUUGGGACCCGAAAGAUGGUGAACUAUGCUUGAAUAGGGUGAAGCCAGAGGAAACUCUGGUGGAGGCUCGCAGCGGUUCUGACGUGCAAAUCGAUCGUCAAAUUUGGGCAUAGGGGCGAAAGACUAAUCGAACUAUCUAGUAGCUGGUCCUGC